UAUAUAUGUGCUAUCUCAAUGGGGGGUUUUUUGGUUGGGUAUAGAAAUUCCCAAAUUAGAUAAGAAUUCAGCUUUAGUUGCUUGUAUAAAAGUUUCAUUCUUUCUUGCUGCCCCAAAAUUGGCUUCUUCCUACUUUUAUUGAUACUCCCUCAUAAUUCUGAAUCGAAGUGUAAUUUUAUACUGUAUUUCAGAAAUUUUCAAUUGCUCAGUGACGAGUGUUAGCAGAUUUGUGAUGUCUGUUAGUUACAUAUUGUGUUGAUCUUAAAUACUAACAUCUGUUCGGUUUGCAAGUAUGUAUCUUAGGAUUAAAUAUGUAUUGUGUUUGGUUCAUGAAAUUGAAUCAACAACUGAAUCCUAAUCAUGUGAUAAUUAGUUAUAGUCUUUAACUAGGAAACCGAACUCCACCUAAUUGGAUGUUUUUAUAUUUCCCUUUUUCAUUUCCUACAUCAGAUUGUAGAAAUACGUACUAGUUGCUGAAGUAAGAUGUCAUUCUUAGCUCUUAGAUCAUUAGAUGUGAAGAUGGCUCAACCUUUCGGUGCUGAUUAUUCGAGCUAUUAUGCUAAUGGUAUUGGGAGGGACAAUGCACGUGGACCUGGAUUUCCCGGCUUGAAGAAGAGAAAUCAUCAUCUUGGAAAUCGGUCUUGGAUAUUGAUUGAUGCCAAAGGGAACUCUGAAGUCGUGGAACUAGAUAAGCCAACUGUCAUGAGACGCUGUUUGCUGCCUUCCCGAGAUCUAAGACUCUUGGAUCCUUUGUUUAUCCAUCCCUCCUCGAUAUUAGGCCGUGACAAGGCUAUUGUUGUCAGUCUCGAGCAGAUUAGGUGCAUUAUCACCGCUGAUGAGGUUAUACUGAAGAACUCCGUAGAAGACUCAGUGCUGCAGUACAAAUAUGAGUUGUGCAAGCGUCUCGAGGUAUCCAGAGAUAAUUAUGACGAUCUACCUUUCGAGUUCAGAGCUUUGGAGGUUGCUUUGGAGCAUACAUGUAUGUCACUUGAUGCUCAGACAAAGGAUUUAGAAUUGGAUAUAUAUCCUGUGCUCGACGAAUUAGCCUCAUCCAUAAGCACCCUCAAUCUAGAGCGUGUACGUAGAUUCAAAGGGAGCCUUCUGGCCUUGACUCAGCGAGUGCAAAAGGUUUGUGUUGAAAUAGAGCAUCUGAUGAACGAUGAUGGUGACAUGGCGGAGAUGUAUCUAACUGAGAAGAAAGAAAGAAGGGAUAUACUUACAGAUAGUGAUGUAUGCAAUCUAAUUAAUGAUGCAAAAUUUAGAUCCAAAUCUGCUCCUGUUUCUCCGGUGGGAUCAUCUAGCGGAGUCCACAGAUUGCAGAGAGCUUUCAGCACUAUGAGUUCCACUAAACAUGGAAGCUUCUUGAGCUCAUCUUCUUCUGGAGAAAAUAUCGAUCAACUUGAGAUGUUACUCGAAGCAUACUUUGUUGGCAUAGACAACACACUCAAUAAGUUGCUAUCGCUUAAAGAGUAUAUUGAUGAUACCGAGGAUUUAAUCAACAUAAAGCUGGGAAAUGUACAGAAUCAGCUGAUUAAAUUCGAGUUGCUUCUCAGAGCUGCUACCUUUGUCACUGCCAUGUUUGCCGCUGUGGCUGCAGUUUUUGGAAUGAAUUUCGAAGACACUGUAUUUGACGAGGCCUCUACAUUCAACUGGGUACUUGUCAUCUCUGGAAUCUGUUGUGGAGUGUUGUAUGGUUUAUUUUUGGCUUAUUUCCGGAACAAAAAGGUCAUCCCUUAGUAGUCGGUUAGCGUAAGGGAUCACCUACUACAUUUCCUAAUUUUAAUUGAGUUCUUGCAGUUUCCCACCAUAUAUAUACUCUUGUACAUAUUUUUAGUUUUAGUGUGCAUCUGAGUUGUACAUCUUAAUCAAAAACUAAAAUUGAAACCGGAGCCUGCUUUCUCUUUCUCGAGUAUCUGCUAGCAUUUCCGACUCAUCAAUGCCUUCAUCUUCACUCAUUGAAUCCUCAUUGGAGUCAAGACUCAUAAAUCUUUGCUUAUUCCUAAUGUGGGGGAUAUCUCUGAUGGAGUCAUAGCCUGCGUUCUGUAUUCCGUUGGUUGAGCCAGCCAGAUUCCCGGUGGUUCUCUUAAGGUGGUACGUCUUCUCUCUUGUCGUGUUGGUCACAUAUGCAGUUACAAAGAAAAGCAGCACCUACAUCAGUGAUGAUAUGCUAGUCACUACUUCCGGUGACCUGCCGACGCCAUGAGGACAGCGACAGCAACCACGAACAUCAACAACAUGCCAACAAGAAGCACAUACGUCCUUCUAGAAGAUCUUCUGUACUCUCCAAACAGAAUCAUACCCCAGAAUGUACUCACCAGGGGCAAAGCCUACAUACGCGCAAACCAAAAUGUGAUCGGUAGUGUGUUUCAAGAUCGAAACAAUAGAUGAUGAUCAACUAACCCAUGGGCGGACCCAAGUGAUAGGGACGAGGGGCUAAAGCCCUCACUGAAAUAUUUUUAACUUUUUUUAAAAAAUUUCUUCAAGUUUAGCAUACAUUAUUAUGUAAAAGCCCCUAUAAAUAAUCUAAGUUACUUAAAAAUAUACUUUAAAA